CUUACUGACUGCAUGCAGGAGAAGAACCUCGCCGGGAGGUUCUCACCGAAGAACACGAUGUCUGAGGCAGAGUUGGAUGGACACACAGACACAGACACAGAAAGAGAAGAGACAUAUGUGCUCUCAUUUUGCUUCGAGCACGCAGCCCCUUGGGAGCAGCUUUUGUUUGCCCGCGAGGAAUGCUGUAGAGGCAGGUGGUGACACAGCACACCCGCAGACGCCACACAGAGACGGCCGGUCACGUGCGGCCCGCAGCUGAGACUCCGCGAGCAGCCAAAAGGAUUCUCUUUCAAGGGCAGACGGCCCCAGCCGCUCUCUCUGCUCCCUGCCAGCGAUCAGCCUGUUCCCCAAAUGCACAGACAAGAGCCACUGUUCCCAGACUCUCUGCAGCCUGUCCCCUCCCCCUGCAUUAGUUUUGCCUUUGUUACUUGACUCAGUCUACUGCCUCGCUCGCUCGUGAGCCAGCAGUGUGCGUGCAAAUAAAGGGCCUGUAAAAGAACUA